CCUACGGGGGGCAGCAGUGGGGAAUAUUGGACAAUGGGCGAAAGCCUGAUCCAGCCAUGCCGCGUGUGUGAAGAAGGCCUUCGGGUUGUAAAGCACUUUCAGUGGGGAAGAAAGCCUUGGGGCUAAUACCCUCGAGGAAGGACAUCACCCACAGAAGAAGCACCGGCUAACUCCGUGCCAGCAGCCGCGGUAAUACGGAGGGUGCGAGCGUUAAUCGGAAUUACUGGGCGUAAAGCGCGCGUAGGCGGUCUGAUAAGCCGGUUGUGAAAGCCCCGGGCUCAACCUGGGAACGGCAUCCGGAACUGGCAGGCUAGAGUGCAGGAGAGGAAGGUAGAAUUCCCGGUGUAGCGGUGAAAUGCGUAGAGAUCGGGAGGAAUACCAGUGGCGAAGGCGGCCUUCUGGACUGACACUGACGCUGAGGUGCGAAAGCGUGGGUAGCAAACAGGAUUAGAUACCCUAGUAGUC
rnacentral:rRNA from 1 species